UACGGGGGGGGCAAGCGUUGUUCGGAAUUACUGGGCGUAAAGGGCUCGUAGGCGGCCAACUAAGUCAGACGUGAAAUCCCUCGGCUUAACCGGGGAACUGCCUCUGAUACUGGAUGGCUUGAGAUUGGGAGAGGGAUGCGGAAUUCCAGGUGUAGCGGUGAAAUGCGCAGAUAUCAGGAGGAACACCGGUGGCGAAGGCGGUUCUCUGGGCCUGUACUGACGCUGAGGAACGAAAGCGUGGGGAGCGAACAGG
rnacentral:rRNA from 1 species